rnacentral:rRNA from 1 species
UAGUCCACGCCCUAAACGAUGCAUAUUUGGUGUGGGCCAUUCAUUUGGUCCGUGCCGGAGCUAACGCGUUAAAUAUGCCGCCUGGGGAGUACAGUCGCAAGGCUGAAACUCAAAGGAAUUGACGGGGGCCCGCACAAGCGGUGGAGCAUGUGGUUUAAUUCGACGCAACGCGAAGAACCUUACCUGGGCUCGAAAUGCUGUGGCCAGUCUGUGAAAGCAGGCCUUCCCGCAAGGGACCGCAGUAU